AUAUUGCGCAAUGGGCGCGAGCCUGAACCAGCCAAGUCGCGUGAGGGAGGACGGCCCUACGGGUUGUAAACCUCUUUUGCCGGGGAGCAACGGGCGCCACGUGUGGCGCCACUGAGAGUACCCGGAGACAAAGCAUCGGCUAACUCCGUGCCAGCAGCCGCGGUAAUACGGAGGAUGCGAGCGUUAUCCGGAUUUAUUGGGUUUAAAGGGUGCGUAGGCGGAUCGUUAAGUCAGUGGUCAAAUUGAGGGGCUCAACCCCUUCCCGCCAUUGAAACUGGCGAUCUUGAGUGGAAGAGAAGUAUGCGGAAUGCGUGGUGUAGCGGUGAAAUGCAUAGAUAUCACGCAGAACCCCGAUUGCGAAGGCAGCAUGCCGGCUUCCUACUGACGCUGAAGCACGAAAGCGUGGGGAUCGAACAGG
rnacentral:rRNA from 1 species